UUUCUUCUGUUCUCUUCUCGUUUCUUCUCUUUCUUCUUCCCUGUCUUCUGCUGCUAGCGAGUGAGAGUGAGGUUUGAGAAUUUUCGCUGUGAUAAUCGGUCAAUAAGAAGGAGUAUAUUAAGUAGAUAAUGUUACUGAUGUUGAUGAGGAGAUUCCUUGAACGAUGGAAGUUAUGGUUUCUAAAGUUAGUUGAGAGAUUUUAUGAAAUUGAAUCUUUGAUGAGUUUGAGAUGAUAGGUUUUCAUUAUUAAAAGAUAAGAAGAAGUUUUAGUAGAUGAAUAUUGAAUUAAGAAUCAAUGAUUAGGGUUUUUGAUAUUCAUUGGAGUUGUGAUUUGAGAUGAUUAAGAAGAUGUUUAAAGAUGGGUUGGUCGAUCUGAUGAUCGUUGUGGUGUUAAUUCAAGUAGUUUAUUCAGAGUUACUAGGAAAGGGUAAUCAGAGAAGGACUGAAGAAUUAGGGCCCAACGAAAAGUUAGGGAAGACGAAAUGGAAGGUUAGAAGAUCGAAUUGGAGGUGUGUUUAACUUGAACUUGGAAGUUGGGGUUUUGAAUUUGAAGUUGGGGUUGCUUAAUCGAAAACCAGGGUUCAUGUGUUCUUCCCCAAAUUAGUAAAUCAGGAUUUCUGUUGAUAAGAAGAUGACUGAGUAGUUAUGAGAGUAAAGUUGGUUGAUGUAAGAGCAAAGGGGUUAUUGUUGUAUUGAUGUUGUGAAGUUAUUUAAGGAAGAGAUUGAAUGUAUGACUGAAGAUUUGAGUAACUAGUGAAUUAGGGUCUCGAUUGGAUUAUGGAUUUAGGGUUCAUGGGUUGAACUGCAGUUGGAUAGAAGAGUUUGAAUUCAACAAUUUAAGGUAAUCUCUGUUUCCUGAAUUGAAUUGGAUUUAUUUUCAUCCAUUCUGAAUUACCAAAUUUGUAUAAUAGUUGUAUGUAUUUUUGAAUUGAAGUUCUGUGUGCUGGAUUUGGUGUUGUUAUGCUUGGGUGAAUGAGAUACUCCUACAGGGAUUGAUCUUUAAGAACUGGUGUUGGUACUGAUGUUGAUUGCAUGGAGUUAUAGUGAACUGAAUAAUAGAAUGGUGUACAGGGUAUGCAUGAGAAGAUAGUGAUAGUGAAGGUGCGGUGUCAAUGAUGUUAUAGGGAGUAAUAGUGUUGUUUUGUAGAGGUAAUUAAUUGAAUUUGAAAUAUGAAGUGCAGGUGGUUAUGUAAUUACACUUUGUAAUUGAAUUUUUGUGGAUGUAUGGGUGGUUGGGAGUGUUCUUGAAGACAUGAACUAAUUAUGAAAUAAGACUAAGACAAUAUUAAAGUAUGACGUACUGUGAUUAGUGAAGUAUGAUUAAAGUGAAAGUUGCAGAUUAGGUUUGAAUCUGUGUUACAGUUGAGUUUGAGAUGAAACUGAACUUAAUUAGGUUGAACGCCAAGAAGGUAUUGUUUAUGAGACUGAAGUUGCGGAGGAUGAUGGUUUGAAUUGAGAAGUUGCAGUUGGGGAAAGACUAGUGUCUCGAGAAGUAUGAGUUGGACUUAGCAUUAGAGCUGUAUUGGUGGUGUAUGUAUUACUAGUCAUUAUAAUUAGUAGCAAAGGUGUUGCAUAGGGAUGCAAUUGCAGGUAAACCGAAUUAUCAGUUGUAAUUGAGUUAUGAAAUUAUGGUAACCGAGUUUGAUAGUAUUGAUUGUUGAAGUGUAAAUAAGAAGAGGAAUCUGAGUUAGUUUAUGGUGAAUUGAAUCUCCUCAGUGGAAGCUUUCAACUGCAUUUACAGUGGAUCGUGGAUCUCUAUGUAGGCGUGGCUUGUCAUCAAAAGAGUUUCAGAGAUAGAUCAGGGUUGCGCAGCGGAAGCUUCGAGGAGUUGAGUUUGUUAGUUUAAUUAACUUCGGCUAUGUUAUUAUACUGUAUGUUUUAUUUGUAAACCAAAUGAAUAUUGUAUAUGUAUCAUUUGAGAGAAAUUCUUGUAUAUAUAUAUAUGUUUCA